ACCUGCGGAGGAUCAUUAUGGUACUACAGAGGCGCAAAGGUUGUCGCUGACCUUUUCACGAGGUCGUGCACGCCUGAGUGCUCUCACACACAAUCCACCUCACCACUUGUGCACCACCAUGCGGAGGCCCCUUGCUCUUGGCUCGUUUCGAGAGGGGGGAGGCUUUCGUCUUUUUUACACACACACAAUACAGUCUGGUAGUAUAGAAUGUCAUUCAUUUGCGAUAACACGCAAUUAAUACAACUUUCAACAAUGGAUCUCUUGGCUCUCGCAUCGAUGAAGAACGCAGCGAAAUGCGAUACGUAAUGUGAAUUGCAGAAUUCAGUGAAUCAUCGAAUCUUUGAACGCACCUUGCACCCCUUGGCAUUCCGAGGGGUACACCCGUUUGAGUGUCGUGAAAUUCUCAAACCUUCUUGGUUUCUUGACCAAGAAGGCUUUGGACUUUGGAGGUCUUUUGCUGGCUUUGCGAAAAGUCAGCUCCUCUUAAAUGCAUUAGUGGGGUCCUCUUUGCCGAUCCCCAGGCGUUGAUAAGAUGCUUCUACGUCUUGGGAUUGCUCUGUUCAUUGGGAACCCGCUUCUAACCGUCUCACUAUGGGAGACAUUGUUCGAGCUUGCUCGACCCACGAACCUUGACCUCAAAUCGGGUGAGACUACCCGCUGAACUUAAGCAUAUCAAUAAGCGGAGGAAAAGAAACUAACAAGGAUUCCCCUAGUAACUGCGAGUGAAGCGGGAAAAGCUCAAAUUUAAAAUCUGGUGGCUCUAUGGUCAUCCGAGUUGUAAUUUAGAGAAGCGUUUUCCGCGCUGGACCAUGCACAAGUCUCCUGGAAUGGAGCGUCAUAGAGGGUGAGAAUCCCGUCUUUGGCAUGGAUAACCAGGCUUCUGUGAUGCGCUCUCGAAGAGUCGAGUUGUUUGGGAAUGCAGCUCAAAAUGGGUGGUGAACUCCAUCUAAAGCUAAAUAUUGCGAGAGACCGAUAGCGACAGUACCGUGAGGAAGAUGAAAGCACUUUGGGAAGAGAGUGAACAGUACGUGAAAUGUGAAGGAAACGCUGAGUCAGUCCCGUGACAGACUCAGCUUGCCUUGGCUUGGGUGCAAUUCUGGGCCGACGGUCCGGCACUCAUUUGGCC
rnacentral:rRNA from 1 species